rnacentral:rRNA from 1 species
AAUGAACGCUAGCGGCAGGCUUAAUACAUGCAAGUCGAGGGACAGCACAGGUAGCAAUACUGGGUGGUAACCGGCAAACGGGUGCGGAACACGUACACAACCUUCCUUUAAGUGGGGGAUAGCCCAGAGAAAUUUGGAUUAAUACCCCGUAAUAUAGUUGAAUGGCAUCAUUUGAUUAUUAUAGCUACGGCGCUUAAUGAUGGGUGUGCGGCUGAUUAGAUAGUUGGCGGGGUAACGGCCCACCAAGUCUACAAUCAGUAGCUGAUGUGAGAGCAUGAUCAGCCACACGGGAACUGAGACACGGGCCCGACUCCUACGGGAGGCAGCAGUAAGGAAUAUUGGUCAAUGGACGCAAGUCUGAACCAGCCAUGCCGCGUGAAGGAUUAAGGUCCUCUGGAUUGUAAACUUCUUUUAUUUGGGACGAAAAAGGGCCUUUCUAGGUCAACUGACGGUACCAGAUGAAUAAGCACCGGCUAACUCCGUGCCAGCCGCCGCCGUAAGAC